UGGGGAAUAUUGCACAAUGGGCGCAAGCCUGAUGCAGCCAUGCCGCGUGUAUGAAGAAGGCCUUCGGGUUGUAAAGUACUUUCAGUCGGGAGGAAGGGGGUAAGGUUAAUAACCUUAUCAAUGGACGUUACCGACAGAAGAAGAACCGGCUAACUCCGGGCCAGCAGCCGCGGUAAUACGGAGGGUGCAAGCGUUAAUCGGAAUUACUGGGCGUAAAGCGCACGCAGGCGGUUGAUUGAGUCAGAUGUGAAAUCCCCGGGCUUAACCCGGGAAUUGCAUCUGAUACUGGUCAGCUAGAGUCUUGUAGAGGGGGGUAGAAUUCCAUGUGUAGCGGUGAAAUGCGUAGAGAUGUGGAGGAAUACCGGUGGCGAAGGCGGCCCCCUGGACAAAGACUGACGCUCAGGUGCGAAAGCGUGGGGAGCAAACAGG
rnacentral:rRNA from 1 species